rnacentral:lncRNA from 1 species
AAUUACUUGAUGUUUUUACUAUCAUUCACCAAGCUUUUUAAGCUCACACUCUCACAUUUUUUGUAGAGAAUUUCCGGGCAUAAGGAGUCGAGAAGCGAGUGCAAGGGCGAUCCAAGAAUAAGGCUCGGCAGUGGCUUAAAAAAUUUACUUUAGAGACUAUAUAGGGGCAUUGUGACGCUUUUGGGACUAGCGUUAUUUUACUUGUAAUGG